rnacentral:rRNA from 1 species
CAACACAAGUAUUAAAGGUCCCGCCUGCCCAGUGAAAUUUAUUUUUAACGGCCGCGGUAUUCUAACCGUGCAAAGGUAGCGUAAUCACUUGUCUUCUAAAUAAAGACUAGUAUGAACGGCUAAAUGAGGGUAAGACUGUCUCUUAUAAUUAAUCAGUGAAACUGACCUUCCAGUACAAACGCUGGAAUAAGCACAUAAGACGAGAAGACCCCGUGGAGCUUAAAACUAAUCACUAACACAUUAUUACCCUAGUGCACUGUUUUCAGUUGGGGCGACUUCGGAAUAAAACAAAACUUCCGAGCACAGAACCACCACUUCCUACUAAGGCCAACAAGCCCAAGUACAACCUGACCCGGCUCCAAUGCCGAUCAACGAACCAAGUUACCCCGGGGAUAACAGCGCUAUCUUCUUCAAGAGUCCCUAUCAACAAGAAGGUUUACGACCUCGAUGUUGGAUCAGGACACCCAAAUGGUGCAGCCGCUAUUAAAGGUUCGUUUGUUCAACGAUUAACAGUC